GACAUAGGUGGCAAACGUUAUCCGGAAUUACUGGGCGUAAAGAGUGCGUAGGUGGUUGAAUAAGUUACUGGUGGAAAAUCGGGGCCCAACCCCGUGGAAGUCAGUAAUACUAUUCGACUCGAGGACUGGAGAGGUUAACGGAAUUCUAUGUGUAGCGGUAAAAUGCUCAAAUAUAUAGAGGAACACCAAACGGCGAAGGCAGUUAACUAUUCGGUACCUGACGUUGAGGCACGAAAGCGUGGGGAGCAAGACGG
rnacentral:rRNA from 1 species